rnacentral:lncRNA from 1 species
CCAAAUCAUUUCUAUCUCUUGCUUCCAAACUACUGCGCUUCAACGUACCAGAGAUUUUCCAAUACACGAAUCAAGGUUCGAUUAGGUGGGUUUAGAACCCGAAACCAUGAAUGGACGCGUUGAUGUGGCCAUGUGGGAGUUUGAGAGAAACAGAGACUCUAAUCGCUGAGACAUGAGAUAAGAAGCCACUAUCCGAUGGUGAGCGGCUUGAAACUGAGAUAAAUGGUAGAAAUCUUUUCAUUUGUGAAAGUCACAUCCAGUCUGGUGUAGUUUUGUGUAUUAAUACUGCCAUGGUGAAGCAUCUCAGGAAACAAAAAUAAGAAGGACAAGAAGAAGAUAAUCAAUCGUUUACAGAGACAAAAAAAUAUAAAAGAUGAAGAGGCGUG